rnacentral:rRNA from 1 species
AUUGAACGCUGGCGGCAGGCUUAACACAUGCAAGUCGAGCGGAGAUGAGGUGCUUGCACCUUAUCUUAGCGGCGGACGGGUGAGUAAUGCUUAGGAAUCUGCCUAUUAGUGGGGGACAACAUUCCGAAAGGAAUGCUAAUACCGCAUACGUCCUACGGGAGAAAGCAGGGGAUCUUCGGACCUUGCGCUAAUAGAUGAGCCUAAGUCGGAUUAGCUAGUUGGUGGGGUAAAGGCCUACCGAGGCGACGAUCUGUAGCGGGUCUGAGAGGAUGAUCCGCAACACUGGGACUGGGACACGGCCCAGACUCCUACGGGAGGCAGCAGUGGGGAAUAUUGGACAAUGGGGGGAACCCUGAUCCAGCCAUGCCGCGUGUGUGAAGAAGGCCUUAUGGUUGUAAAGCACUUUAAGCGAGGAGGAGGCUACUGAGACUAAUACUCUUGGAUAGUGGACGUUACUCGCAGAAUAAGCACCGGCUAACUCUGUGCCAGCCGCCGCAGUAACAC